GAUUUCUGGUUUGAUAUAUCUAACCCGCCACAGUUUUGUGUGUGAGUGUUGGUAUAUAUCUACCAUCCUUCUAGAUAAUAUAUAUGAUUCUUCAUUGAAUGAUAUAUAUGUUCUAGAUCUUUUACUUUGAAAAAAUUAGAGUGUUUAAAGCAGGCAUGAUUUGCUAUGAAUACAUUAGCAUGGAAUAAUAAUUUAGGACUUCGGUUCUAUUUUGUUGGUUUCUAGGACUGAAGUAAUGAUUGAUAGGGAUAGUUGGGGGUGCUAGUAUUCAGUGGCCAGAGGUGAAAUUCUUGGAUUCACUGAAGACUAACUUAUGCGAAAGCAUU
rnacentral:rRNA from 1 species